rnacentral:rRNA from 1 species
CCUACGGGAGGCAGCAGUGAGGAAUAUUGGUCAAUGGACGAGAGUCUGAACCAGCCAAGUAGCGUGAAGGAUGACUGCCCUAUGGGUUGUAAACUUCUUUUAUAAAGGAAUAAAACGAGGCACGUGUGCCUUUUUGCAUGUACUUUAUGAAUAAGGAUCGGCUAACUCCGUGCCAGCAGCCGCGGUAAUACGGAGGAUCCGAGCGUUAUCCGGAUUUAUUGGGUUUAAAGGGAGCGUAGAUGGGUUGUUAAGUCAGUUGUGAAAGUUCGCGGCUCAACCGUAAAAUUGCAAUUGAUACUGGCAGUCGUGAGUACAGUUGAGGUAGGCGGAAUUCGUGGUGUAGCGGUGAAAUGCUUAGAUAUCACGAAGAACCCCGAUUGCGAAGGCAGCUUACUAAACUGUGACUGACAUUGAUGCUCGAAAGUGUGGGUAUCAAACAGGAUUAGAUACCCUAGUAGUC